rnacentral:rRNA from 1 species
GUGUCAGCCGCCGCGGUAAUACGGAGGGUGCGAGCGUUAAUCGGAAUUACUGGGCGUAAAGGGCGCGUAGGCGGUGAAGUAAGUCGGGUGUGAAAGCCCCGGGCUCAACCUGGGAACUGCAUCCGAUACUGCUUCGCUAGAGUAUGGUAGAGGGAAGCGGAAUUCCGGGUGUAGCGGUGAAAUGCGUAGAUAUCCGGAGGAACACCAGUGGCGAAGGCGGCUUCCUGGACCAAUACUGACGCUGAGGCGCGAAAGCGUGGGGAUCAAACAGGAUUAGAAACCCUUGUAGUCC